rfam:Chaetomium globosum CBS 148.51 scaffold_5 genomic scaffold, whole genome shotgun sequence.
GGUUCUAUAGUGUAGCGGUCAUCACUCCGGAUUCUGAUCCCCUCAGAAUGUUCCGGCAACCCCGGUUCGAUUCCGGGUAGGACCU